GUGGGGAAUCUUAGACAAUGGGGGAAACCCUGAUCUAGCCAUGCCGCGUGAUCGAUGAAGGCCUUAGGGUUGUAAAGAUCUUUCGCUGGGGAAGAUAAUGACUGUACCCAGUAAAGAAGCCCCGGCUAACUCCGUGCCAGCAGCCGCGGUAAUACGGAGGGGGCUAGCGUUAUUCGGAAUUACUGGGCGUAAAGCGCACGUAGGCGGACCAGAAAGUUGGGGGUGAAAUCCCGGGGCUCAACCUCGGAACUGCCUUCAAAACUCCUGGUCUUGAGUUCGAGAGAGGUGAGUGGAAUUCCGAGUGUAGAGGUGAAAUUCGUAGAUAUUCGGAGGAACACCAGUGGCGAAGGCGGCCAACUGGACGGGAACUGACGCUGAGGUACGAAAGCGUGGGGAGCAAACAGGAUUAGAAACCCCUGUAGUCC
rnacentral:rRNA from 1 species